rnacentral:lncRNA from 1 species
CCCACAAACAUUGAUAUAGAUCGAGUAUUACAUUACACUAAGAGAGAAACAAACAAUGGCCAUGGGAGUUGCUGCUCACUUCAAUCGUUUCUGGUUCCUUCUCUUCGUCCUCUAUUUCUCCAUCUCCCUCUCCUCCAUUUCUGGAUCUGUAAGUUAUCCAUUUAAAUCAAAUCGUUAAAGCUUUUUGAUAAUUUAUUAUCUGAAUUUUGUGUAAAUGCAGGAAGAGGAUUGUGUUUACAGUGCAUAUAUCCGAACUGGAUCAAUCAUCAAAGGUGGAACCGAUUCGAUCAUCAGUUUAACUCUCUUUGAUGAAAACGGGUACGGUAUUCGAAUAAAAAACCUGGAAGCUUGGGGUGGGCUUAUGGGCCCGGGUCACAACUAUUUUG